CUGUGAGUCAACUGAUCUGAAGGUUUGGAAGAUUAUAAAAUUCUUUGUGUCAGAGAAAUGAAAACAAAGCAAGGAGUGGGAAACCUGGUGUGAGGUAGAGUUGACACUUAGGAGAAGUCUGAUGGCCAGCCCCCGACCUAGCAUCUCCUAUGAAUUAAUUCUCUUCUUGCAAAGGGGACCAUAUGUUCACUGUGCGGAGAGACAAAGGCCAAGUGGAGCGACUGACAAAGAGCAAAGAAACCAGAGGCAGCUGUGAAAAGGCUGCAGUUUGUACCACUGAAUACUGUUGCGAAGAGAUGUAUACCAUUGGCCCUCACACUCCUGUCUCUAUGCCAACCAGAAGGAAGUCGAUAAAGAUGUACAUUCACAUAGCUGCUUCUGGCGUCAUGCUCACUUAUCUUUGAAGAUGCUAGAGAUCAGAGGUCUUUACAGAGAGAGAAGACCAAAGGCAGCCAGAUUGGCUGUCCACAAAGCUCCUUCACUGCCCAGACAAGAGAUACUUUUAUCGGCAGUGUAUCACAUGUUGCCCCGCCUGCAGGGCUACAACGGGUUCUCGACCACCCUAAGGAGGCAAUGUAGGGACAGGAGAUACAAAGGAAUACACACCCAGUCUAGAUUCUGAUAAAGGUGCCACUUUAUUUCCUUCCACAAAGGUUUAUAUAGUUCCGGCAGGGUGGGGGGAGCAAGAAGCUGUCAUCUGCAUAAGGUGGGGCAAGCUAACAGGAUGUUUGUAUAGGAUGUUUACAGGG